CCAUUAUAGUAGUAGAAGAUUGUACCACGCAGGCUGUUACAAAAUCCCCAGUACUUCUUGAGAAACACCAGAGAAACUAGAAGACGAGGCAAGUUCCUAUGUUUUAACCUUUGUCGUCAUGGCUAGAAGUUGCUUCUUGCCUUGGGGAGGGAUUUCCUGCUUGAUUUUCUUCAUGAAUAUUCAUAAUUCAUCAUUCCAAGUCUCAGAUGUGAACAAAUGCCUGGAUACCAGGACCUGCCCGUCAACAUCGACUUGCACUAACACUGUGGGAGGCUACUACUGCACCUGUAAAUCCGGGCAUACAUCCAGCACCGGGGAAAAACAUUUUAAUUCUUCUGGAGUGACUUGCCUAGGUGAGUGUUAUUUAGGUAAGAACAUUCUAGAAAAAAGGAAGUGUAUGGGCUUUGACCCAAAUUUUGAUAAUAACUGAUCAAAUCAUGGGAGAUCUACAUGCUCUGCGUGACCAAUAUUUUUUGUUCAGGAGCAUAAAGCAUUCUGAAAUUCUUUAGCUUGAGGAUCUUUUUGGUUAAGAUCACAUAGUAUUUUGAUCUCAGGAGCUCUCUGCAAAUACUAGAUAGGAGCAGCCUGGAUCUAUUCUCUUUUGUUCUUCGUAGGAAGAGAUGGUAGCCAGGGAUACAUAAAAGGGAUAUAUAAAAUGCCUCAAUUUGGACUUUUUUUUUUUUUUUUGGUAACGACUGUAGCAUGUGGCAGUUCGCAGGCCAGGGAUUGAGCCUGUGCCACAGCAGUAACCAGAACAACAGCAGGGACAACACCAGAUCCUUAAGCUGCUGAGCCACCACGGAACUUAUGGAAUGUUUGUAAUGUUAAUAUUAAUAAGGGAAGAUCAACCACGUUUAUCAAAAUGAGUUUUUCCUCAUUUCAAAACACAUCCCCAUUGAUUCAAAAACUAUUUUAUGUUCGUAGCCAAAGCUUCCUGAUA
rnacentral:lncRNA from 1 species